UCCCUGGUGGUCCAGUGGUUAAGACUCCACACUCCCAAUGUAGGCAGACUGGGUUUGAUUCCUGGCUGGGAAA
rnacentral:tRNA from 1 species